rnacentral:tRNA from 1 species
GCUGACGUAGCUCAGUAGGUAGAGCACAUCCUUGGUAAGGAUGAGGUCACCGGUUCAAUCCCGGUCGUCAGCU